CAGUAGCCGCGGUAAUACAGAGGGUGCGAGCGUUAAUCGGAUUUACUGGGCGUAAAGCGUGCGUAGGCGGCUAAUUGAGUCGGAUGUGAAAUCCCCGAGCUUAACUUGGGAAUUGCAUUCGAUACUGGUUAGCUAGAGUGUGGGAGAGGAUGGUAGAAUUCCAGGUGUAGCGGUGAAAUGCGUAGAGAUCUGGAGGAAUACCGAUGGCUAAGGCAGCCAUCUGGCCUAACACUGACGCUGAGGUACGAAAGCAUGGGGAGCAAACAGGAUUAGAUACCCCAGUAGUCCCUGUCUCUUAUAC
rnacentral:rRNA from 1 species